AUUGGCUCUGAUAAAAUUUUGAUACAAAUGAAUACAAGAAUUGUAUACAUUACAGUGCUAACAAUUCAAUUUUUCAUAUAAAUAAUAUUUCCAAGGGACAUUAUGACAAUUCUUUUGAAAAUAAUUGAAUGUUACUGAUUUUCUAACUUGUUUGAAACAUUUCUGGUGUAUACCUAUGAUUAAAGUUUUAUAAAAAUCUAUACCUAUGAGUAAAGUUUUAUAAAAAUCUAUACCUAUGAUUAAAGUUUUAUAAAAAUCUAUCAGGAUUUGUACAGGUGGGUGCGCUAACAAGAACUGAGGGACAGAAACCCAGAAUUUCUAUGUCCCAAAUAAUGUGUUCCAUGGAGGCUUAAAUUGUCAGACACACAUCUUCAGCAAAAAAUGGCUAAACCAAACUGAUUCUUUGUGUAUUGAAAGGUUGGGUUCACAUGUUAUGAUUAUCACCUGAAUAGUGUAUCUUGUCUUGACUUUUGAUUGAUUGAUCAGUAUUGACUGUCACUUUCCAGCUGCAAUGUUCUGCCAUUUCCUGGCACUUAAUUAAUAUUGGUUGAGAAAGCUGGGGUGCCUGGAAAGAACAAUCAACCUACAUUUCCACUUAGUCAAGAGGAAAAUAUAUCUUUCAAAUAAAAUCUAGAGUGGUUACUGUAUUUAUAGUGGGUUAUAUUGGCUGGUUAAAAAUUUUCGUGGAUAGAACAAAAUCGCAAAAAUAAAUUCGGCCAAUUUAAAAGUGCAAAUGAAAAGGUAUUGAUAAAAGUUUUGAAUCCACUAAAACAAUAACUGCCAAAAUAGUUUGUAUACCUU
rnacentral:lncRNA from 1 species